rnacentral:rRNA from 2 species
GCAUAUCAAUAAGCGGAGGAAAAGAAACCAACAGGGAUUGCCUCAGUAACGGCGAGUGAAGCGGCAAGAGCUCAAAUUUGAAAUCUGGUCCUUUCAGGGCCCGAGUUGUAAUUUGCAGAGGAUGCUUUGGGUGCGGCCGCGGCGUAAGUGCCCUGGAACGGGCUGUCGCAGAGGGUGAGAAUCCCGUCUUGAGUCGCCGGUUCGCGCCCGUGUAAAGCUCCUUCGACGAGUCGAGUUGUUUGGGAAUGCAGCUCUAAAUGGGUGGUAAAUUUCAUCUAAAGCUAAAUAUUGGCUGGAGACCGAUAGCGCACAAGUAGAGUGAUCGAAAGGUUAAAAGCACCUUGAAAAGGGAGUUAAAUAGCACGUGAAAUUGUUGAAAGGGAAGCGCUUGCAACCAGACUCGGCCGCAGAGGCUCAACGGGCACGUGUGCCUGUGCACUCCUCUGUGGUCGGGCCAGCAUCAGUUCUGGCGACCGGUCAAAGGCCCCUGGAAUGUGUCGUCCUCCGGGACGUCUUAUAGCCAGGGGUGCAAUGCGGCCAGCCGGGACUGAGGAACGCGCUUCGGCACGGAUGCUGGCAUAAUGGUUGUAAGCGGCCCGUCUUGAAACACGGACCAAGGAGUCUAACAUCCACGCGAGUGUUCGGGUGUCAAACCCGUGCGCGCAGUGAAAGCGAACGGAGGUGGGAUCCCCGCAAGGGGCGCACCAUCGACCGAUCCUGAAGUCUUCGGAUGGAUUUGAGUAAGAGCGUGGCUGUUGGGACCCGAAAGAUGGUGAACUAUGCCUGAAUAGGGCGAAGCCAGAGGAAACUACUGGUGGAGGCUCGCAGCGGUUCUGACGUGCAAAUCGAUCGUCAAAAUUUGGGUAUAGGGGCGAAAGACUAAUCGAUCAUCUAGUAGCUGAUCUGUCGAG